UCAAGCACUCGGCACACAUGAAAAAUUUCUCUGGAGGAGUUUUCUAGUUCAUCCAACUGUUUAUUUCUUUCCUCCCAUCUAGAAGAAACAAGUCCUUCACACAACAACGUGAGUGCGGUGAGAGACCAGAAGACAGAGCGCAGAUUUCAGCUGCGGCACACACACAACCAGCAGAGCCGCACAAUGACGUCCACUACGCCAGCGUCUGCUUCACCCAGAACCGGGCAGAUGCCAUCUACUCCAACAUAGGUCGAGUUCAACCCCAGAGAGAAACUGAGGAAGACAAGUAGGAGGAGGCUGAAUACAGCGCUGUUCGAUUUGACAGUGCAACAGGAACAAGACGUGAA